ACAACCUCAAUUUAAGUGAGA
rnacentral:rRNA from 1 species